GCCAGACUCCUACGGGAGGCAGCAGUGGGGGAUAUUGCACAAUGGGGGAAACCCUGAUGCAGCGACGCCGCGUGGGUGAAGAAGCGCCUCGGCGCGUAAAGCCCUGUCAGCAGGGAAGAAAAUGACGGUACCUGACUAAGAAGCCCCGGCUAACUACGUGCCAGCAGCCGCGGUAAUACGUAGGGGGCAAGCGUUAUCCGGAUUUACUGGGUGUAAAGGGAGCGUAGACGGCGAUGCAAGUCUGAAGUGAAAGGCGGGGGCCCAACCCCCGGACUGCUUUGGAAACUGUAUAGCUGGAGUGCAGGAGAGGUAAGUGGAAUUCCUAGUGUAGCGGUGAAAUGCGUAGAUAUUAGGAGGAACACCAGUGGCGAAGGCGGCUUUCUGGACUGAAACUGACGCUGAGGCACGAAAGCGUGGGGAGCGAACAGGAUUAGAUACCCGCGUA
rnacentral:rRNA from 1 species